GAUGGCGAUGGCUGGGUGAACAGGAGCGCGGGCCUCUGGCCCGCAUCAUGAGCGGGCCGGCGGCCCGCGCUCCCGUGCAACCUGGAUGCCAUCC
rnacentral:tRNA from 1 species